rnacentral:tRNA from 1 species
GUCCAGGGAUGGGAAACGAACCCACAGUGUUCCACUUACCAGGCAGAUGUCAUGUCCACUAGGCUACCCUGGA